UCGGUGUUUAUGUGAGGCUUCAGCAUGCUACCUGGCUAACCGGACAGUUUCUGGAUCGGUGAUGACUCUGAAACGUUAACGUUAACUGUAGUCAGACAUACAGCCGGUUACCGGAGGAGUUUAUCUUCCUCACGGGUGGAAGAUUGGAUUUAAAGAGAAAAACAGAAGAUGUCUUUGCCUGUUGAUGCUAAUGCUAAUGCUAAUGCUAAUGUGGAUCAGAAGGUUCUGCAGUAUGAAAACUUCGUCAACGAAGUUCUGAAGAGAGAUUUAGAGAAGGUGUUGGAGCAGAGAGACUCAGUUUAUGAGAAGAUCUCGCUGUAUCUUCAGCUGAAGAACACCAUACAGAGUCUGCAGGAGUCGGGCUCUCAGCAGCUGAAGACGGAUGUUGAUCUCGGCUGUAACUUCUUCGUCCAGGCUGAAGUGGAGGACUCGUCCAAGAUCUUUGUGGCGGUCGGUUACGGCUUUUUUUUGGAGAUGAACUACGACGAAGCUCUGCGAUUCAUCGAGAAGAAGACGAGUCAGCUCACUGCCUUCACAGAGCAGCUCACCAAAGACUCAGCUAAGAUUAAAGCCAACAUCCGCAUGGUGCUGGAGGGUCUGAGGGAGCUGCAGGGAGUGACCGACCUGCCAGAGAGCAGAAGAAGAGACGUUUUCUAGACUUUGUUGGGCGACCGCAGGACUUUCAGAUAAAUAAAAUAAUAAAACAUGGCUGCUGCUGUAACACAGGACAAACAUCACAGGAGGACGUGGAGAAUGAAACCUUCCCUUUAAUUUGACUCUUCGUUCAGAGCAUUGAAACCAUGCUCCUCUACAGACGUAAUCCAGGCGUAAUCCAGACGUAAUCCAGUCUGGAUGAAGCUACAACUGAGUUAUUCUUGGUGUAAAUUUCUCCUUUUAAGGACGUGACUGUUCUUCAGACAGAUUGUUGGGCCGUAACCUUUUUUAUGCCACCUUUUUGAUUUGUUUUGGUUCAUUUAAAUUCCUUUUGUUAGCGUGGAUGUUUGGUCAAACCUUAAAAAACUAUUAAAGUCACACCACAUGGCCAAAAA